GUACACUCCUGCGGGAGGCAGCAGUGGGGAAUAUUGCACAAUGGGCGCAAGCCUGAUGCAGCCAUGCCGCGUGUAUGAAGAAGGCCUUCGGGUUGUAAAGUACUUUCAGCGGGGAGGAAGGCAAUACGGUUAAUAACCGUGUUGAUUGACGUUACCCGCAGAAGAAGCACCGGCUAACUCCGUGCCAGCAGCCGCGGUAAUACGGAGGGUGCAAGCGUUAAUCGGAAUUACUGGGCGGAAAGCGCACGCAGGCGGUCUGUCAAGUCGGAUGUGAAAUCCCCGGGCUCAACCUGGGAACUGCAUUCGAAACUGGCAGGCUUGAGUCUUGUAGAGGGGGGUAGAAUUCCAGGUGUAGCGGUGAAAUGCGUAGAGAUCUGGAGGAAUACCGGUGGCGAAGGCGGCCCCCUGGACAAAGACUGACGCUCAGGUGCGAAAGCGUGGGGAGCAAACAGGAUUAGAUACCCGAGUAGUCCCAUGA
rnacentral:rRNA from 1 species